GCCUGGGUGGCUCAGUCGGUUAAGCGUCUGACUUCAGCUCAGGUCACAGUCUCGCGGUCUGGUCCAUGAGUUCGAGCCCCGUGUCGGGCU
rnacentral:tRNA from 1 species